UACGGGGGGGGCAAGCGUUGUUCGGAAGUACUGGGCGUAAAGGGCGCGUAGGCGGGUGGACAAGUCUCUCGUGAAAGCCCACGGCUCAACCGUGGAGUUGCGGGAGAUACUGUCUGUCUUGAGACCGGGGGAGGAGGGUGGAAUUCCCAGGGUAGCGGUGAAAUGCGUAGAUAUUGGGAGGAACACCGGUGGCGAAGGCGGCUCUCUGGACCGGUACUGACGCUGAGGCGCGAAAGCUAGGGGAGCAAACGGG
rnacentral:rRNA from 1 species